UACAGAGGGUGCGAGCGUUAAUCGGAGUUACUGGGCGUAAAGGGCGCGUAGGCGGUUAUAUAAGUGUGAUGUGAAAGCCCCGGGCUUAACCUGGGAAGGGCAUCGCGGACUGUGUAACUGGAGUAUAUGAGAGGGUGUCGGAAUUUCCGGUGUAGCGGUGAAAUGCGUAGAGAUCGGAAGGAACGUCGAUGGCGAAGGCAGGCACCUGGCAUAAUACUGACGCUGAGGCGCGAAAGCGUGGGUAGCGAACAGG
rnacentral:rRNA from 1 species